AUCCAGCUGACGAGUCCCAGAUAGGAUGAAACCCGCCUCCUGAAU
rnacentral:hammerhead_ribozyme from 1 species